ensembl:misc_RNA Metazoa_SRP Metazoan signal recognition particle RNA
GCCAGGUGUGGUGGUGCACACCUGUAGUCCCAGCUACAUGAGAGGCUGAGGUGGGAGGAUUGCUUGAGCCCAGGAGGUCGAGGAUGCAGUGAGCUAUGAUGGCGCCACUGUACUCCAGCCUGGGUGGCAGAGCAAGAUCUCAUCUCUU